UACAGAGGUCUCAAGCGUUGUUCGGAUUCAUUGGGCGUAAAGGGUGCGUAGGUGGCGCGCUAAGUCGGGUGUGAAAUCUCGGAGCUUAACUCCGAAAUUGCAUUCGAUACUGGCGUGCUUUGAGGACUGGAGAGGAGACUGGAAUUCAUGGUGUAGCAGUGAAAUGCGUAGAGAUCAUGAGGAAGACCAGUGGCGAAGGCGGGUCUCUGGACAGUUCCUGACACUGAGGCACGAAGGCCAGGGGAGCAAAACGGGG
rnacentral:rRNA from 1 species